GCGCCUGUAGCUCAGUUGGAUAGAGCAACGGACUUCUAAUCCGUAGGUCGCUGGUUCGACUCCAGUCAGGCGCGCCA
rnacentral:tRNA from 1 species